GUGUCACCACAGAAAGCGGAUAUUACAGCCUUCAGUCCUCGGAUGAAAUGAAAAUUUUGUACAGAGUACUAGACGUGGAAUCCUCCAUAAUGCUAGCCAGAAAGGGCAAAGGUGGUCUGUGACAUUGCCGUCACAUGAAAGAUGCUGCAGAGACAGGGACAGGGUGACCAAGGGAAGGGGACCUGAAUGGAAAGAAAGUGGAGCUGGAGUCCACCUGUGCAGAUGUGCAACCUUGAGAUCUCUGUGAGUCACCCACCUCGUCUUCUUAUACACAGAAAUGUCCCUGUUAUAAAAAAGAACCCUGGGAGAGAAGGCGGAAGGAAGUGGCGACUGCAUCCUUGUGCCCUUGGGCUGUGGGAAAGAAAAGGGCUGAUCCCUGAAGGCGUAGCCUUUCCACCUUGCAAGAGCAAAACCCAGGACAUCUUGGAACUACCCUGUCCCCGUCCCAGUCUUCAAAGUCUCCAACCCAGGGGUGCAGAUGCUCUGGAUGUGCUGAGGCUGGAACACACGUGACAUGCUCCAGGGACAGAAAGAUGAGGGUGAGGGUGCGCUAAAGCACAGCAGGAGGAAGAGGGCACACUGGCGGGGAGUGGAAGAGAAGGCGGGACUACUGCUCUCCCCUCUUCACCAUGGGUAUUGAUCUUGUGAAUAUCCAAGGUGAUACGUCUUCUUAUUCCACAGUGGAGAACAGGCUCGGUGAGGUGAAGCUAUUAGCUCAAUGCUGCACAGUUAGUCACAGUUGCUGAGAACCGGUCCUCGAAUACCAAGGAAGUUCUCCUGAGAACAUGGUGAUGCAGAUGUUGCUUCCUCUGAAUCUGUUCUGAAAGUGCAUUCAGUUUUGUUUUUUUGAUCUCCUGUCAGCUAAAUGCUGGUCUGUAAGUUAUUGUUUUAAACUACAGCUGACUGAGCUGUGUUGAGAUCUUUGUCAAGAAACCUUUGAGUUGGCACUGCGACCUCUGUAGCUGGUCCUUAUGAUUAAAAAGCCAUUUCGAUCUUU